rnacentral:rRNA from 1 species
UACGGAGGAUGCAAGCGUUAUCCGGAUUUAUUGGGUUUAAAGGGUGCGCAGGUUGUUUGAUAAGUCAGUGGUGAAAGUCUGUCGCUUAACGGUAGGAUUGCCAUUGAUACUGUUAGACUUGAAUAUGGAUGAGGUAGGCGGAUGUGUAGUGUAGCGGUAAAAUGCAUAGAUAUUACACAGAACACCGAUUGCGAAGGCAGCUUACUAAUCCAUCAUUGACGCUGAGGCACGAAAGCGUGGGGAUCAAACAGGA